CCUACGGGAGGCAGCAGUGGGGAAUUGUUCACAAUGGGCGCAAGCCUGAUGACGCAACGCCGCGUGGGGGAUGAAGGUCUUCGGAUCGUAAACCCCUGUCGAAUGGGACGAAUAGCUUCCGGAUUAAUACCCCGGAGGAAUGACGGUACCGUUAAAGGAAGCCACGGCUAACUCUGUGCCAGCAGCCGCGGUAAUACAGAGGUGGCAAGCGUUGUUCGGAAUUACUGGGCGUAAAGGGCGCGUAGGCGGCCAUCUAAGUCAGACGUGAAAUCCCCGGCUCAACCUGGGAACUGCGUCUGAUACUGGAAGGCUAGAGUUUGGGAGAGGGAUGUAGAAUUCCAGGUGUAGCGGUGAAAUGCGUAGAUAUCUGGAGGAAUACCGGUGGCGAAGGCGGCAUCCUGGACCAAUACUGACGCUGAGGCGCGAAAGCUAGGGGANCAAACGGGGAUUAGAUACCCCGGUAGUCCUAGCCCUAAACGAUGAAUACUUGGUGUGGCGGGUAUCGAUCCCUGCCGUGCCGAAGCUAACGCAUUAAGUAUUCCGCCUGGGGAUACGGUCGCAAGGCUGAAACUCAAAGGAUUGACGGNNGAGAGNGCGAGACGACGACGAGGAGAGG
rnacentral:rRNA from 1 species